GCCUCUGGAAGGAUCUGGAAUGCACCUGAAGCUCCCAGGACUUGAAGACAGACCUCCAAAGACUUGGAUCAGAUCCCAAAUGUGGCAGCUUUUAGCAGCAGCAUGCUGGAUGCUUCUUCUUGGAUCUAUGUAUGGUUAUGACAAGAAAGGAAACAAUGCAAACCCUGAAGCUAAUAUGAAUAUUAGCCAGAUUAUUUCUUACUGGGGUUAUCCUUAUGAAGAGUAUGAUGUUACAACAAAAGAUGGUUAUAUCCUUGGAAUUUAUAGGAUUCCACAUGGAAGAGGAUGCCCAGGGAGGACAGCUCCAAAGCCUGCUGUGUAUUUGCAGCAUGGCUUAAUUGCAUCUGCCAGUAACUGGAUUUGCAACCUGCCCAACAACAGUUUGGCUUUCCUUCUGGCAGAUAGUGGUUAUGACGUGUGGUUGGGGAACAGCCGAGGAAACACUUGGUCCAGAAAACACCUUAAAUUGUCACCGAAAUCACCGGAAUACUGGGCCUUCAGUUUGGAUGAGAUGGCUAAAUAUGACCUUCCAGCCACAAUCAAUUUUAUCAUAGAGAAAACUGGACAGAAGCGACUCUACUACGUGGGCCACUCACAAGGCACCACCAUAGCUUUUAUAGCAUUUUCUACAAACCCAGAACUGGCUAAAAAGAUUAAGAUAUUUUUUGCACUGGCUCCAGUUGUCACAGUUAAAUACACCCAAAGUCCUAUGAAAAAACUAACAACCCUUUCCAGGCGAGUAGUUAAGGUGUUGUUUGGUGACAAAAUGUUCCACCCUCAUACAUUGUUUGACCAAUUCAUUGCCACCAAAGUGUGCAAUCGAAAGCUAUUCCGUCGUAUUUGCAGCAACUUCCUAUUUACUCUGAGUGGAUUUGAUCCGCAAAACUUAAAUAUGAGUCGCUUGGAUGUUUAUUUGUCACACAAUCCUGCGGGAACAUCUGUUCAGAAUAUGCUGCACUGGGCUCAGGCUGUUAAUUCUGGUCAGCUCCAAGCUUUUGAUUGGGGAAACUCUGAUCAGAACAUGAUGCACUUCCAUCAGAGGUUCAGAGAGGGUAGGUAAAUUACCAGAGUUAUUCGCUAGUAAACAACCAGAGACAGGGGCUCAAGAUGGUCAACUGGAUACAGCCAGGAAGAGUUUCUCCCAUUAAGAGACAAGACCAUCAAGAAGAUUGGAACACUCUGAGCAGAUCUUCAGAAGAAAGGCAUUGAGAGUGAAUGGAGCUUACACCUCCUUUAUACAACAUUACUAAGAUGGAAGUUCCAACAGCAAUAUGGAAUGGUGGACAGGACAUUGUGGCUGAUCCCAAGGAUGUUGAAAAUUUACUUCCUCAAAUUGCUAACCUUAUUUAUUACAAGCUGAUUCCACACUACAAUCAUGUGGAUUUUUACCUUGGAGAGGAUGCACCUCAGGAAAUUUACCAAGACCUAAUUAUAUUGAUGGAAGAAUAUUUACAAAAUUAAAUGCACUUUACUUUCUCUAA